rnacentral:rRNA from 1 species
CGCGUAGGCGGGACUGCAAGUCAGGUGUGAAAUCUGGGGGCUUAACCCUCAAACUGCAUUUGAAACUGUAGUUCUUGAGUAUCGGAGAGGCAGGCGGAAUUCCAAGUGUAGCGGUGAAAUGCGUAGAUAUUUGGAGGAACACCAGUGGCGAAGGCGGCCUGCUGGACGACAACUGACGCUGAGGCGCGAAAGCGUGGGGAGCAAACAGGAUUAGAUACCCUGGUAGUCCACGCUGUAAACGAUGAAUACUAGGUGUGGGGGGACUAACCCCCUCCGUGCCGGAGUUAACACAAUAAGUAUUCCACCUGGGGAGUACGGCCGCAAGGUUGAA